GUGCAGCAGGCGAGAAAACUUCACACUGUGCGAAAGCACGAUGAGGGAAUCCCAAGUGCUUGCACGUAAGUGUAAGCUGUUUCUCUGUCUAAAACGCAGAGAGAGUAAGGGCUGGGUAAGACGGGUGCCAGCCGCCGCGGUAAUACCUGCAGCUCAAGUGGUGACCGUUAUUAUUGGGCCUAAAACGUCCGUAGCCGGUUUAAUAAAUGCCUGGGUAAAUUGUGUAGCUUAACUACACGAAUUCCGGGUAGACUGUUAAACUUGAGACCGGGAGAAGUUAGAGGUACUCCUGGGGUAGAGGUGAAAUUCUGUAAUCCUAGGGGGACCACCAGUGGCGAAGGCGUCUAACUAGAACGGGUCUGACGGUGA
rnacentral:rRNA from 1 species